rnacentral:lncRNA from 1 species
GUUUAGCAGUGAAUCAUUACAAUAUUCAAGAUUAUAUAAAGUAUCCAAUCCAGCCUCUGUCUUCAGUCCACAUCUUACUGUAUGCCUAUUUGUCAAUUAAAGUACACAUUUUCUGCCUCAAAUGGUCACUUUAGAAUUCUUGUCACAACAGUAUCACCUGUUACCAUAUAUCUGACACAAUUUAUCUAAUAUAUAUACUAGAAGUGUUCAAACAUAGCCAUAUUUUCAAUAGUUGUAUGUAUGCAGAUACAAGUCUGAAUUCACUUAAAAUGUUAUAGAGAUGACUGCUUACAUCUGAUUUUAGCAUAACUUCCAACCAUAAUUAUUGUUUUCUUUAUCAAGAACUUUAAAAACAUAAAAUCAUAGCAUUUACAACUGAAAUUAUUUGUUUUAUAACCCAGGGGGUAGGCAAUUUUCUCUGCUUUUUGCCCCUGGGGCCUCAAAUUUUCUAAAUCAUUCUGCUGUGUCUAGCAAAUUGGAAUAUUUAGUACAUAUUCAGGAUAUA